GGAAAGAAGGAAGGAAGAAAAAGAGGCAAAGGCAAAGGCAACUCUUGGGAGUAGAGAGCGCCUUACAGAGGGAAGGGUAAAUGACAAGGCCAGGAUCCCAGCCCCUGUCACUCCUGUCUCUCCUAAUUUGGCCAGAAUCUCCACUGGUCAAGGGGUCUUUCCUGAUUUGUUCCCUGGGUUGGGGCUAGAGGCACCCCAGCCUUGCAAGAGAAUGUCGGAGUCCCUGGCCAGGCGGAGGCCUGGAGCCGGGGAGGCCCAGGAUGGAAGCGUGCGCCCCUGACCUUGAAUGGCCCGCGGCCCAGAAUUCCUACCACGCCCCUGGCUUCCGCGAUGGAGCAGCUAACCUGACCGUACCUGCUCCUGGCCAGGUGGAGAUGGGGGGUGAGGCCAGCAGUCUGGCAGAGAGCUGAGAACGAGGCAGGGUUGAGGCUCCUGCGCGGGAUAAGCCGAGGUUGCCACCGCAGGCCAGGCGCGACCAGGGCCUGGAUGCCCCGCCCGGCACGGCCCGGCCCCCGCGCGCACAGGUACCUGGAGACGAUUUCAACUGAAGUAAUGAAGGCAGUGUCGUGCUGUCGAGAGAAAGGUGGAUCCCAACAACAGGAAACUACCUAAAUCACCGACCAGUUCUGAUGCUGCCCGCGCGAAGCUGCCUCGCCCUCCGCCGCCACUGCCGCCGCCGCCGCCGCCACCGCCGCCGCCGCCGCCGCCAAGGGAGAACCCUGCGAUCGCGCCCGGCCCCUCGCCAACCUGUGCCCGCCACUGCCACUGCGUGUCCCGGGCUGCCGCUAAGGCAUGUCGGAGAAAAAAGCCACUGGCCUCAGGAAGCCAGAAGAACAUGGAAAUUCAGAGCCAACAUCAAGCCCUUUUCCCAAGCUGCGUGUCCAUGCCUGCAAGCUCUUCUCUUUGCCAAGGAAGAAAGGAAGAAAGGAAAAAGAAA